rnacentral:rRNA from 1 species
UACGGGGGAGCAAGCGUUGUUCGGAUUUACUGGGCGUAAAGGGCGCGUAGGCGGCGCAACAAGUCACUUGUGAAAUCUCCGGGCUUAACCCGGAGCGGUCAAGUGAUACUGUCGUGCUAGAGUGCGGAAGGGGCUACUGGAAUUCUCGGUGUAGCGGUGAAAUGCGUAGAUAUCAGGAGGAACACCGAUGGCGAAGGCAGGUCUCUGGGCCAUUACUGACACUGAGAAGCGAAAGCAUGGGGAGCGAACAGG